rnacentral:rRNA from 1 species
CUCCUACGGGAGGCAGCAGUGGGGAAUAUUGGACAAUGGGGGCAACCCUGAUCCAGCCAUGCCGCGUGUGUGAAGAAGGCCUUUUGGUUGUAAAGCACUUUAAGCAGUGAAGAAGACCUAACGGUUAAUACCCGUUAGCGAUGACAUUAGCUGCAGAAUGAGCACCGGCUAACUCUGUGCCAGCAGCCGCGGUAAUACAGAGGGUGCAAGCGUUAAUCGGAAUUACUGGGCGUAAAGCGAGCGUAGGUGGCUUGAUAAGUCAGAUGUGAAAUCCCCGGGCUUAACCUGGGAACUGCAUCUGAUAC